ACUUUUCUGUCAUUUUUUAUCUUCUCUCCACUCAUCACCUCUCUCCAUCCAUGACUCCUCACCUCACCACGACCGCCAAUUUCUUCCCCUCAUGAUGUCACCCACUCAAAAACCUCCCACUCUUCUCCUGCAACAGCAUUAGCAACCCAACAAAUCAACCCUAACACAACCUCCAUGCGCUCUCCUCCUAAUGCUCACCGCAACAGCGGCGACCAUCCCUUCCACUCCACCAUGUCGCUCCGAAAAUUAAGGCGGUUCAACUAGAACGAACAUAUUUGUAGUGGGAGCGAAUGCGAUAAUGGUGAUACAUUCUCUUCGCCGAGGUCGUCCACCUAUGGUUCGAUUGGCCAUGACCAGAGCUAUCGUUAAUGGAGAACGUACUGAUGCAUUUCAACCAGGUUGUCGUAUAAGACAAGUUUCAGCCAUUCGGCGCACUUAGAACAUUUUUGGUGAUAAUUCGACUUUUUAGAGAAUUUUUUAUGCAAGGCCAAUUGUGUCUGAAUUUCAUAAUUUCCCAUGAAGCCAAACAUUCUAGUUUUGCAAAUCAAUCCUGCAAAAGUUGUUUUCCCGUCAGAACUGCACAGCUGUGGGAGAAUGAUGAUUUGAAGGCUUUCCCGAUUUUUCCUAGUGGCGUGCGAUAUAUACUUGGAAUGAUAAGAGAUAAAGCUACGUUUCCCAUAUGUUUACAAAAUUUUCCAGAAGAUAAAUCGACCUCAAAAAUGGCGUGCAAGACAGAUGACGUGUUUCCCAAGCCAAGAAGGAUUCUUUCCUAGUUUGUGUCAUUAAUUGUUUAUGAGUUUGUUUUAUUUAGGAGAAUUUAUCCCAUACCUUUUGGGGUUUUUCUAGUAUAAAUAAGGUGCCCUAAGCUCUCUCUACAAAGUCUGACAUCACCCCACAUCCAUACUAUCAUUCACCAUCUCCGCAAUUUGUGAAGAAAAGCUUAGGGACGUGCUUUGCCAUGGAUUCGUUUCUAUCUUUCUUUUAUUUUUAUUUCCAUAUGUAACGAAGUUAUUUUCUAAGGUUUAUGAUGAAGCCAUGAGAUGAAUAUUUGCGAAGUACUUUGUUAAUUAUUAUCCAAUUAUAUGCCAUGUUAUAUUCUUAAUCUUUGUGGGUAUAUUUUAUUCUAAGUUUGAAUUUCUAAUGACUGAUCACCUUUAGGAAUUUUUCAUUUAUAUAUUUAGAUAAAUCUAUGAGGAUGACCGAUCAAUUAGGUUUAUUGGAGCUAAGGUUAAGAAGAGUAGACAAACUAGUGAGAAUGACAAAUAUCAAGCUAGUCCUACUUGGUUGACAUGAUUCUUCUAUACUUAAUGGGUUUUUAUGUGUUUAAUUGUAUGCCUAACCAAUAGGAUAUAGUUAUCAUGUAAAGAUACAAGAGUUGAUGCCAGACCACGGAAUAAUUCGUACCUUAGAAAGAACAACUUUUGACAUUGGCAUGGUAAUUGGAUAGUAGUUGGCUCUAGGCAAAGUAAAUAGGAUUGUUGUUGGUGGAUUCAUAACCUUAGACUUCCAUUGUUUCUCAAUUUCUUCUUGUGUCGUGUGUGAUUUUAAUUAAUUGUCUUUUGUUUUUCUUGUUAAUUUUAGUCUUAAUCAAUUAAUCAAUUAUUAAAUUCAAUCUACCCUUUGUUUGUUUAAUUAAGUCUAGCGUGAUUAAUCGGUUAAGUUGUGUUAAAGCAAUCCCCGUGGGAUCGACCUCGUAUUUACAUAUAUUACUACAAUUGAUUCAUGUGCUUGCGAGUUUGAUUUGGUUUAGAUUAAUCUAUUAUUUAGGUUGGUUUAAAUACACAUCGAGUAUGAGCCAAAUAAAUCAGUCUCCCUACCAGUCUCUAAUAU